GCCAGCAGCCAUAUCACCCUGCAACUCACAACUGGGAGCCCGCUGAAGCUAAGCAGGUGUAAGCCUGGUCAGUACCUGGAUGGGGGACCUCCUGGAAAAGGUUGCUGCUGGAA
rnacentral:rRNA from 1 species